UUCAGCUGGAGAUGGGCCGAGAAGGGCAUUAUCAACAGAGAGAAGAGCAGGGCAGAGACUCGGGCAUAGUUUGAGAAGUGGGUGUUGGGCAUGGCUGGCAAACUGGUCCUCCGAGCCUACGAACCUCCUCCGGCUUCUCUAUGUGGUUAACUCUACACUUACUGUGCAGAAGCGCCUCGUGGUUUGCAUUCCUAGAAGCCCCCUCAGGCCCGGCAUGCUUCGUGUAAACUUUUUACUGAAGUAUAACUUUAUACAAAUGAGUAUAUACAUUAUGGGAACAGCUCAAUGAAUUUUCACAGUCAACACACCUGUGGAAUUACCCACUAAGGAAACAGAACAUGACUGAUACCCCAAACUCUUUGACUCUCACUUUUAAUCAUUUCUCUAGCCUGACCUGUAACACAGAUUCCUUUAUUGUUUUGGAACUUUCCAUGAAAAUCAAUAUGCUGCAUAUACCUC